AAAACUCUAAGCGGUGGAUCACUCGGCUCAUGGGUCGAUGAAGAACGCAGCAAACUGUGCGUCAUCGUGUGAACUGCAGGACACAUGAACAUCGACAUUUUGAACGCAUAUCGCAGUCCAUGCUGUUAUGUACUUUAAUUAAUUUUAUAGUGCUGCUUGGACUACAUAUGGUUGAGGGUUGUAAGACUAUGCUAAUUAAGUUGCUUAUAAAUUUUUAUAAGCAUAUGGUAUAUUAUUGGAUAAAUAUAAUAAUUUUUAUUCAUAAUAUUAAAAAAUAAAUGAAAAACAUUAUCUCACAUUUGAAUGUGAAAAACGAAGAGAAAUAUUUUCUUUUUCAAUCAAAUAAUACUGAGAAAUGUCUAGCAUAAAAAAUUGAAAUAUUUUUCAUCUAGAAUUGUCUCUUAUUAAUGAUUCGGAAAUAGAAAAAUCUUGGUUAUGUUAUUAUUCUUCGUUGGUUCGUUAAAAAUGGAUAAAUAAAAACUUUGCAUACAAGAAUUAAUAAAAAUGUUAUAACGAAUUUAAUUAAAUGUUUUAUCAUUAUAUAUAAAGAAUUUAUGGCAAGAUAAAGUUAUAUACAACCUCAACUCAUAUGGGACUACCCCCUGAAUUUAAGCAUAUUAAUUAGGGGAGGAAAAGAAACUAACAAGGAUUUUCUUAGUAGCGGCGAGCGAAAAGAAAACAGUUCAGCACUAAGUCACUUUGUCUAUAUGGCAAAUGUGAGAUGCAGUGUAUGGAGCGUCAAUAUUCUAGUAUGAGAAAUUAACGAUUUAAGUCCUUCUUAAAUGAGGCCAUUUACCCAUAGAGGGUGCCAGGCCCGUAUAACGUUAAUGAUUACUAGAUGAUGUUUCCAAAGAGUCGUGUUGCUUGAUAGUGCAGCACUAAGUGGGUGGUAAACUCCAUCUAAAACUAAAUAUAACCAUGAGACCGAUAGUAAACAAGUACCGUGAGGGAAAGUUGAAAAGAACUCUGAAUAGAGAGUUAAACAGUACGUGAAACUGCUUAGAGGUUAAGCCCGAUGAACCUGAAUAUCCGUUAUGGAAAAUUCAUCAUUAAAAUUGUAAUAUUUAAAUAAUAUUAUGAGAAUAGUGUGCAUUUUUUCCAUAUAAGGACAUUGUAAUCUAUUAGCAUAUACCAAAUUUAUCAUAAAAUAUAACUUAUAGUUUAUUCCAAUUAAAUUGCUUGCAUUUUAACACAGAAUAAAUGUUAUUAAUUUGAUAAAGUGCUGAUAGAUUUAUAUGAUUACAGUGCGUUAAUUUUUCGGAAUUAUAUAAUGGCAUAAUUAUCAUUGAUUUUUGUGUUUAUUAUAUGCACUUGUAUGAUUAACAAUGCGAAAGAUUCAGGAUACCUUCGGGACCCGUCUUGAAACACGGACCAAGGAGUCUAACAUAUGUGCAAGUUAUUGGGAUAUAAACCUAAUAGCGUAAUUAACUUGACUAAUAAUGGGAUUAGUUUUUUAGCUAUUUAUAGCUAAUUAACACAAUCCCGGGGCGUUCUAUAUAGUUAUGUAUAAUGUAUAUUUAUAUUAUUUAUGCCUCUAACUGGAACGUACCUUGAGCAUAUAUGCUGUGACCCGAAAGAUGGUGAACUAUACUUGAUCAGGUUGAAGUCAGGGGAAACCCUGAUGGAAGACCGAAACAGUUCUGACGUGCAAAUCGAUUGUCAGAAUUGAGUAUAGGGGCGAAAGACCAAUCGAACCAUCUAGUAGCUGGUUCCUUCCGAAGUUUCCCUCAGGAUAGCUGGUGCAUUUUAAUAUUAUAUAAAAUAAUCUUAUCUGGUAAAGCGAAUGAUUAGAGGCCUUAGGGUCGAAACGAUCUUAACCUAUUCUCAAACUUUAAAUGGGUAAGAACCUUAACUUUCUUGAUAUGAAGUUCAAGGUUAUGAUAUAAUGUGCCCAGUGGGCCACUUUUGGUAAGCAGAACUGGCGCUGUGGGAUGAACCAAACGUAAUGUUACGGUGCCCAAAUUAACAACUCAUGCAGAUACCAUGAAAGGCGUUGGUUGCUUAAAACAGCAGGACGGUGAUCAUGGAAGUCGAAAUCCGCUAAGGAGUGUGUAACAACUCACCUGCCGAAGCAACUAGCCCUUAAAAUGGAUGGCGCUUAAGUUGUAUACCUAUACAUUACCGCUAAAGUAGAUGAUUUAUAUUACUUGUGAUAUAAAUUUUGAAACUUUAGUGAGUAGGAAGGUACAAUGGUAUGCGUAGAAGUGUUUGGCGUAAGCCUGCAUGGAGCUGCCAUUGGUACAGAUCUUGGUGGUAGUAGCAAAUAAUCGAAUGAGACCUUGGAGGACUGAAGUGGAGAAGGGUUUCGUGUGAACAGUGGUUGAUCACGAGUUAGUCGGUCCUAAGUUCAAGGCGAAAGCCGAAAAUUUUCAAGUAAAACAAAAAUGCCUAACUAUAUAAACAAAGCGAAUUAUAAUACACUUGAAUAAUUUUGAACGAAAGGGAAUACGGUUCCAAUUCCGUAACCUGUUGAGUAUCCGUUUGUUAUUAAAUAUGGGCCUCGUGCUCAUCCUGGCAACAGGAACGACCAUAAAGAAGCCGUCGAGAGAUAUCGGAAGAGUUUUCUUUUCUGUUUUAUAGCCGUACUACCAUGGAAGUCUUUCGCAGAGAGAUAUGGUAGAUGGGCUAGAAGAGCAUGACAUAUACUGUUGUGUCGAUAUUUUCUCCUCGGACCUUGAAAAUUUAUGGUGGGGACACGCAAACUUCUCAACAGGCCGUACCAAUAUCCGCAGCUGGUCUCCAAGGUGAAGAGUCUCUAGUCGAUAGAAUAAUGUAGGUAAGGGAAGUCGGCAAAUUAGAUCCGUAACUUCGGGAUAAGGAUUGGCUCUGAAGAUUGAGAUAGUCGGGCUUGAUUGGGAAACAAUAACAUGGUUUAUGUGCUCGUUCUGGGUAAAUAGAGUUUCUAGCAUUUAUGUUAGUUACUUGUUCCCCGGAUAGUUUAGUUACGUAGCCAAUUGUGGAACUUUCUUGCUAAAAUUUUUAAGAAUACUAUUUGGGUUAAACCAAUUAGUUCUUAUUAAUUAUAACGAUUAUCAAUUAACAAUCAAUUCAGAACUGGCACGGACUUGGGGAAUCCGACUGUCUAAUUAAAACAAAGCAUUGUGAUGGCCCUAGCGGGUGUUGACACAAUGUGAUUUCUGCCCAGUGCUCUGAAUGUCAAAGUGAAGAAAUUCAAGUAAGCGCGGGUCAACGGCGGGAGUAACUAUGACUCUCUUAAGGUAGCCAAAUGCCUCGUCAUCUAAUUAGUGACGCGCAUGAAUGGAUUAACGAGAUUCCUACUGUCCCUAUCUACUAUCUAGCGAAACCACAGCCAAGGGAACGGGCUUGGAAUAAUUAGCGGGGAAAGAAGACCCUUUUGAGCUUGACUCUAAUCUGGCAGUGUAAGGAGACAUAAGAGGUGUAGAAUAAGUGGGAGAUAUUAGACCUCGGUUUGGUAUCGUCAAUGAAAUACCACUACUCUUAUUGUUUCCUUACUUACUUGAUUAAAUGGAACGUGUAUCAUUUCCUAGCCAUUAUACGGAUAUAUUUAUUAUAUCUUAUGGUAUUGGGUUUUGAUGCAAGCUUCUUGAUCAAAGUAUCACGAGUUUGUUAUAUAAUCGCAAACAAAUUCUUUAAUAAAACGAUGCAUUUAUGUAUUUUUGAUUUGAAAAUUUGGUAUAACUCCAAUUACUCAGGUAUGAUCCAAUUCAAGGACAUUGCCAGGUAGGGAGUUUGACUGGGGCGGUACAUCUCUCAAAUAAUAACGGAGGUGUCCCAAGGCCAGCUCAGUGCGGACAGAAACCACACAUAGAGCAAAAGGGCAAAUGCUGACUUGAUCUCGGUGUUCAGUACACACAGGGACAGCAAAAGCUCGGCCUAUCGAUCCUUUUGGUUUAAAGAGUUUUUAACAAGAGGUGUCAGAAAAGUUACCAUAGGGAUAACUGGCUUGUGGCGGCCAAGCGUUCAUAGCGA
rnacentral:rRNA from 1 species